ensembl:lncRNA
AAAAGGUGUUCGUUAAAAACAUCAGGUUAUGGGCCCAGAGGUCGCCAAGGGAAGCUGCUAACACGUUUUUUGGGAGUCAUAAACAGGAUUGUGGGAUUCACAAUGGAAGAUAGAAUGUUUAUUGACAAGCUGAGCGGACCGGAGAAUUGGGCAACCUGGAAAUUUCAACUGGAGCACCUGUUGAAGGCAAAAGGACUAUGGGGUAUGGUACAGGAGACGGAGCAGCUAGCUGCGGAUGCUAAUGCCCAAGUACGAGCUGAAUUUGAACGGAAGAAGGAAAAGGCUUUUUCAGUGCUGGUACUGAAUAAUCAGCAGAGAGCAUGACGAACUUAAAGGACACUCUGAAGAAACACUACAAAAUGAAGGACAUGGGAGGUGCAGUUAGUUGGCUUAGCAAGAAACAAGCAACAGUUGCACUUUCAACUGCAGAGGCUGAGUAUAUUGCUUUGAGCCAAGCCGCACAAGAAGGAGUUUGGUUAAGACGACUACUAACUGAACUUGGAAUGGAAACCACAGCAACAGUGAUCCUGGAGGACAAUCAAGGAGCAAUUGCAAUCGCAAAAAAUCCUGUUGAUCAUGCAAGAACAAAGCACAUAGACAUUCGUUACCACUACAUUCGUGAAUGUGUGCAAAAUGGACAAAUCCAGCUGAAGUAUUGCUGUACAGAGAACAUGAAGGCUGACAUCUUAACCAAACCACUGCCUAGACAAAGGUUUGAGUAUCUCAGAGAGAAGAUUGGACUGUGUUCAGUUUAAAAGGGGUUAUCCUUAACAUGCCUAUAUUAUGCUUAUGUUAAGAUGUCAAGCAUAUAAGUGUAAUGAAGAAUAAUAGUUUUG